rnacentral:tRNA from 1 species
GGCGAGGUAGCUCAGUCGGCAGAGCAGGGGACUCAUAAGCCUCGUGUCGUGGGUUCGAAUCCCACCCUCGCCA